rnacentral:lncRNA from 1 species
AAAGGGGACUGACAACUUUGGGCUGAGCCAGGCUUUCAAAAGGACCCAGCGUUAUGGAGGCUCCGGCGGCGACUUCGCCCUCGAUCGGAUUUCCCAUCGACGGCAGAUGCAACUACUUCGUAGAAAAGAAGAAGCGCUUCUGCAGGAUGGUGGCGGCCGCGGGGAAAAGGUUCUGUGGCGAACACGCUGGCUCCGCCGAGGUCAGCUAUCGCCCUCCCUUCCUGGGAGUCGCGGGUCUGUGGGUGCUGGACCCCAGUCUCGCCCCUUUGACAGGUUCCUGCUUCCGUCCCAUGGAUUUAAGUAAAUGCAGUUCUGCCCACCGCUCGGAGCCGCGAGGAGCCCCCGAGGAGCAUUGCUUUCUUGUACUAAAAGCUCCCUCUGCUGUCUCAGAGACCCUUACACUCAUCCUUCCUUCCGCUAGUCCCCCAUCCUCAGGGGAAGUGAUUAUUUUUAUAAAGGAGUGCUUGAAAAAGAUCACUAGGUUUUAUUAACUGGGUUCUAAUUAAUUAUAGUUAUUGUUUUUGAACGAUAACCACUUGUGAAUGCAUGGGGAAGAAACUUAGAAACAAUUUUUGUUUGUUUGUUUAGACUUGUAGAUUAGUAAUUUGCCUGUUCUUUAUACAUUAGGAGCCACUAAUACUUUUGCACUUACAACCAAAAUGUCUUAUGACAUUAAUGUCUGUUGAGAG